rnacentral:rRNA from 1 species
AUUGAACGCUGGCGGCAGGCUUAACACAUGCAAGUCGAGCGGGGGAAGGUAGCUUGCUACCGGACCUAGCGGCGGACGGGUGAGUAAUGCUUAGGAAUCUGCCUAUUAGUGGGGGACAACAUCUCGAAAGGGAUGCUAAUACCGCAUACGUCCUACGGGAGAAAGCAGGGGAUCUUCGGACCUUGCGCUAAUAGAUGAGCCUAAGUCGGAUUAGCUAGUUGGUGGGGUAAAGGCCUAUCAAGGCGACGAUCUGUAGCGGGUCUGAGAGGAUGGUCCGCCACACUGGGACUGAGACACAGCCCAGACUCCGACCGGAGGCAGCAGGGGGUAAUAUGUGACAAUGGGGGGAACCCUGAUCCAGCCAUGCCGCGUGUGUGAAGAAGGCCUUAUGGUUGUAAAGCACUUUAAGCGAUGAGGAGGCUACUCUAGUUAAUACCUAGGGAUAGUGGACGUUACUCGCAGAAUAAGCACCGGCUAACUCUGUGCCAGCAGCCGCGGUAA